AGAAAGGAGGAAAGAUCACUGAGGAUGACAAAGGUCUUUUGGCAGACAAAUGAGUCCUGUGGGGGAUCCUGAGGUGUGUUUGCAGAUGGACCUGUGGACCUUCUGCCAUGUCUGAGUUUCCCAUGGUGUAUCACUGGCAUUUGCUGGCUCAUGGGG